AUGCACGCUGGCGGCGUGCUUCACCCCUGCAAGUCGAACGGAAAGGCUCCUGCUUGCCGGGGUACUCGAGUGGCGAACGGGUGAGUAACACGUGGGUGAUCUGCCCUGCACUUCGGGAUAAGCCUGGGAAACUGGGUCUAAUACCGGAUAGGACGAUGGUUUGGAUGCCAUUGUGGAAAGUUUUUCGGUGUGGGAUGAGCUCGCGGCCUAUCAGCUUGUUGGUGGGGUAAUGGCCUACCAAGGCGUCGACGGGUAGCCGGCCUGAGAGGGUGUACGGCCAAAUGGGGACUGGGAACCGGCCCAGACUCCUCCGGGGGGCAGCAGUGGGGAAUUUUGCCCAAUGGGCGCAAGCCUGAUGCAGCGACGCCGGGUGGGGGAUGACGGCCUUGGGGUGUUAAACCCCUUUCGCUGGGGACGAAGCGAAAGUGACGGUACCUGGAGAAGAAGCACCGGCUAACUACGU
rnacentral:rRNA from 1 species